rnacentral:misc_RNA from 1 species
AUCGAAAUUGCCAAUAAAAAGGACCAUAUAGGUGACUGAGAUGCUACAACAAACAACUGAUGUGACCCUGUCUCCCUGAGUUACCGAAUUGGAUCUGUCGGUGGCCGUUGUUGCAUCUACAGGUGAAGGUAGAACAUCUUGAAAACAAAAUGAAAAUGUUCAUCUUAUUAGGAAAUGAAGAGCGCAAAAUUAUUCAUUUUGAG